AUGCCGUUGCGUGAUACUUCUGUAAUGGUCAGGUUUGUGACCAACACGACUAAAGAGUUCAAGCAAGACUUGUUGGAAAGCUUGAGAAAAUUAGGGUUUGAUAUCUCUGAAGAUGAGAUAGUCACAUCUCUGACUUCAGCCAGAGGUUUAGGAGAACAGAAACACGUCAGACCUGUGCUGCUAGUUGAUGAUUGGGCACUACCUGAUUUCAAAGGAAUACAAACCAGUGAUCCUAACGCUGUGGUCAUAGGAUUGGCUCCAGAACACUUUCAUUAUCAAAUUGUGAAGCAAGCAUUCCGGUUGCUCCUGGAUGGGGCACCUCUGAUAGCAAUCCACGAAGCUGAGUAUUACAAGAGGAAGACGGCUUAGCCCUGGGGCCUGGACCACUUGUCACUAUGUUAGAGUAUGCCACAGACACCAAAGCCACAGUGGAGGGAAAGCCAGAGAGAACAUUCUUUCUGGAAGGAUUGCGGGGAACUGGCUGUGAACCUGAGGAGACUGUCAUGGUAGGAGAUGAUUGCAGGGCCAAUGUUGGUGGAGCUCUGAAUGUUGGCAUGCCGGGUAUCUUAGAAAAAACUGGGAAAUACCGAGCAGCAGGUAAAGAAAAAAUUAAUCCAUCUCCUUACUUAACUGGUGAGAGCUUUCCUCAUGCUGUGGACCACAUUCUGCAGCAUCUGCUGUCACCCACCAUGUGCAUCUGAAACAACUUGUAACGCAGCUUUUUGUUGUCCCCAGUGAAUCCCUUACUAACUCAAUGCCAGCAUUGACAGACACAUACCACUCAAUGGUGAUCAUGUUUUAAGCCUCUUUUAUUGUGCAUUAAUUAGAAAGAAAGGUAUUGAAUUGCAGCCAGCAACUAAGCCUCACUAAUCCCUUUUGUUUUAUUUUGUGACUGAAGAUUAACUGAGGCCCAAAGAAAGGGAAAGCUGAGGUUUUGUGCCAUUUCUUUUAAAAUAUUCAUCAGGUUAGGCAGGCCUCAGAGGCAGAAGCAACUGCAGGGGAGAGUGUUCUCUGCUAUCUCCUCACUGGAAAACAGGGGGCAAGGGAGGAAUUCAGACUGUGAAUAAAGCUGAAUGGUGGUUUUUACAUGAUAAAGUAAUGCAUUAAAAGGUGCAUUGGGCUACAGUUUUAAUAUGGAGUUCAACUGUGAGAUCCAUCAGAAGUGGCAAGCAGAGUAUAAGAGAUAAGCAGCAAAGCCAGUUGUCCUUUAGCCCAAGUGAGACAGUGAAUUUGCAUCAACAGAUGUUGAAAACUAGAUUUUCUACUGUAUUCCCAGCACGGGUCACUUCUUUUCUCCUCAUUAGCCAGAGAGGACUAAUUUAAAUUUAGAACCUGGUUUUCAUUUACAAUAAUAUUUCCAUUAAUAACCUAUUCGUUGCCGAUAUCUAUUAUAGUGUGUAACAGUUGUUUUGGAAAUUUUAUGUAAAAUUAAAACUAUCCGGUAUUUUACAGAUGUUUUAAUUAGACAUUGCUAUUAACAGGAACAGUGCAGAAGCUAAAAUCAAGCCUUCAGUGUCUUACAGAGCGUGUAUUUUUUUAAGCUAGUGUCCACCAGGGUCCUAUUAACUGUACAUUUGCAAGAUUUUGUAAUUUUUGCCUCUGACAUUGUGGGAAAAAUCUUUGAGAAGCUGUUGGGACAGAUUCAAGUUUUUAUGUAUUUGGUUACUACAGCUGUAAAAUGAAAUCUCGCCUUGUAGCGUGGAUAAUUUUUCUCAUGUUAAACCCACCAAAAUGAAGGAGACUAAGUAGGUGAUGAU